rnacentral:rRNA from 1 species
UACGUAGGCAGCGAGCGUUGUUCGGAGUUACUGGGCGUAAAGGGGGUGUAGGCGGUUGUUUAAGUUUGGUGUGAAAUCUCCCGGCUUAACCGGGAGGGUGCGCCGAGUACUGAAUGACUAGAGUGCGGGAGAGGUGAGUGGAAUUCCUGGUGUAGCGGUGAAAUGCGUAGAUAUCAGGAGGAACACCGGUGGUGUAGACGGCUCACUGGACCGUAACUGACGCUGAGACACGAAAGCGUGGGUAGCAAACAGG